UACGGAGGGAGCUAGCGUUAUUCGGAAUUACUGGGCGUAAAGCGCACGUAGGCGGCUUUGUAAGUUAGAGGUGAAAGCCUGGGGCUCAACCCCAGAAUUGCCUUUAAGACUGCAUCGCUUGAAUCCAGGAGAGGUGAGUGGAAUUCCGAGUGUAGAGGUGAAAUUCGUAGAUAUUCGGAAGAACACCAGUGGCGAAGGCGGCUCACUGGACUGGUAUUGACGCUGAGGUGCGAAAGCGUGGGGAGCAAACAGG
rnacentral:rRNA from 1 species